UACUUUUAUCACUAUAUAAACUAAUCAGCUCAACUUCUUCGUUUUCCUUUUCGUUGCAUUGCCUUUGCAUGCUCCCUUAAUCCUAACUCACAAUCUGUAGUUCUCUUCUUGCAGCAUUGUCCAAGAUCCGAUCCUUCCUAUGACGAAUUCCCACCUCCAGCCCCACCCACCCCUCAAAGCCGUAACCUUAACCCACGUUCGAUACCGGAAGGGAGAUCAAAUCGGCCAUUUAUUGGCAUGGAUUUCUCUAAUCCCAGUUUUUAUCAGCCUUGGGGGCUUCAUUUCACACUUCAUCUUUCGCCGCGAGCUUCAAGGCAUGUUCUUCGCCCUCGGCAUUUUGAUCUCAGAAUUCGUAAACCAAAUCAUUAAGAAAUCCGUUCAACAAGCCCGGCCAGAGACCUGCGCACUUCUGGAAAUGUGCGAUUCCCACGGCUGGCCCUCCAGUCAUUCCCAGUACAUGUUCUUUUUCGCCGUUUAUUUCACGCUCUUGACUUAUUACAGAAUAGAUGUUUUGUUCCGGAAGCAAAUGUGGAUUGUGGGGCUUGUGGUGUGGCCCUUGGCCGUUUUAACUAUGUAUUCGAGGGUUUAUUUGGGGUACCAUACUCUGGCGCAGGUGUUUGCCGGAGCGGCACUGGGGGCGGUGCUGGGUGGAGGGUGGUUUUGGGUAGUGAAUAGUUUGCUGCGGUGUCAUUUUCCGGCGAUUGAGGAGAGUUACUUUGGCAGGUUGUUUUAUGUGAAGGAUACUUCACAUAUUCCGAAUGUGUUGAAGUUUGAGUAUGAAAAUGCGAGGGCGUCGAGGAAACACGUCUCCUACAAGCGAUCCGAUUAAUGGACUGAAAAAUGGGGUUAACUGACAUAAUUUCUUGAGCAAGUUUUAUUGGUGCUAGUCAGGAAUCAUUCGAACAGGAUAUCGGCCAUUUUUCUCUAGAACAUGGAUCAUGGGAAGGAAGCAAAAACUCAGCAAGCACAUUUGAAUCUAUUAUCAGAGCAUUUCAGUGCAGUAGGUUGAGUAGAGUGGAAUCAGGGCUAUGAAUCAUAUAUUGGUUCCACAAGUUGUGUCUGAUCCAGAAACAAGUGGGAAACAAUCAUCGGAUGCCUGAAUGCUACAAAUAUUUUGUAGGGGUCCUUGAGACAAAUAUUAAUAGCUCCCUGCUGCCCUUUUGCCUUUCUCUAUGCAAUGGUCCCCCCACCCCCAUCAAUGAAUAAAAUAACAACAUAUCAAUAUUCCAUGUGUGGGCUUACUCUCUGCAGUUUGAUGAUCACCCUUAAAUAUUUAUCUUUUUCCUAGUCUGCAGAGCUUUGAUAACUCUGAUGAAUGAAUGAAUGGUUCCUGAUUGUCUUGCUCUCCUUUUGGGUUCGCCUUGUCAAGAAGCUCUUGCUUUUCUUAUAUGAGAGAGAGUUGACUUGUUGUAGGCAUUGUUGGUGGGGGGCAAUUUAAAAAAUAUUCUUGACUUUGGGGCAGAAAAUGUAACUGGGAGAGGGUGGAAAUUGAGAGAAAAAGGUGGUUUGCAUGUCAAAUCUAAGGGCUGUAGUUGCAGAUAAAAGGAAAUAUGUGGAGCCAUUGCAUGUUUCUGCCUUUUCACAUCCUAUGAAAGAAAUCAAGAGCCCCCACUCUCUUUCUGCCUCUGUCUGCUUCAAAUCAUUUCUUGUGAUUUGUCAUUUUUCUUUGUUUCAGGGCCCUCUGAACCACUUUGGCCCCAAUGCCUGGAUUUUCUUCUUUUUACCUAGUAUCAAAGUUUUAGUUUGGCCCUCCUAUUCAUUCUUGUAAUAAUCAGCCCAUACACUAUAGCAAAAUCAAUCAUUCUAUACCAGUUCUGUGUGUUUCUGACAAAAUGUUAUGGACAUGUGUUAUUGAAACACAAAUUUAUAGACCAUGCAGUUUCCUUAUGUUCUAUCCCAUAAAACACUAUAUAC